rnacentral:lncRNA from 1 species
CCCUGGUGCAGCAGACGCACAUCCCGAUGUGGAGAGACGCCGGCAGAUGUAGAUCAGUCAAAGGAAUGGUCUGUCAGGUCCCGGUCAGCUUUGGUGGGAAAUAAGGCAGGGAGAUGCUCGGUGGGCAUGGAGGGUGUGGUGGGUGUGUUACUUUAAAGUGGGGUCAGGGUCGCUUCCCUGAGAAAGCGACAGAAGGAGCAGCCUGAGACUAUCUGGAGAGGAGCAUUCCCAGCAGAAGGAAUGGCUAUGCAAAGGCCCUGGGGUGGGCAUGGAUCCAUAGCCAGGAGGUGCCUGUGGCUGGAGAGGAGAGAAUGAGGGGUGGAGAAGCAGGGGAAUCAGAGGUGAGGAGGGGUCGAGUCAGCAGGCCCCCAGCCACUGGAGGGACUUGGAUUCUGCUCUGAGUCGGGUGGGAGCAGCAGAGGUUUUGGCCAGAGGAAUGACAAGAUCUCACUUGUUUAUUUCUGCCACCGUCGGCUCAGUCGAGCUUACUUGUUGAAUGAGACUUGGCCCGGGCCGUCCCAGAGUCCUGUGGCUGAGGGCUGGGCUGCCGCCAGGCUGCUGACACUCCUCUCCUGGCACCCGCCUGGCUGGGUGGCCCAGGGCCCUGCUCUGGGGCCUCUCAUUUGUGGCAUUUCUCACGUUCGCCGUUUAUGAGUCUCAUUACACCUGGCAGGAGAAGGAGCCUCAGCAGACGGCUCAGAAAGUGUCUUUUAAAGAACCUUUCAGAGCUCGGCUGAGAGCUGCUACACCGAUGAAACGGCCGAUGAUAACUUGGAGGAGGAAUUUGGGCUGUGGAAGAGACGGUGAAGAGGAGGGGCUUCGAAAUGGUCCUCAGGUGGAUGAUGGGGUGUCCAAAACGGCCCCGGCCAUGAAGGGAACUUGGUAGGAAUCAGCCUGUCACCCGCCAGGCCCCGUUUCCACUCUCUGACUUAUGUGAUCUAACUUCUGAACAAAUAUUUGAUGAGCACCUACUGAGUGGCAGGCACUGUUCCAGACACAGGGACACGGCAGGGAACAGACGCCGUCGCUGCCCGUGUGGAGUACACAGUCCAGUGGGGCAGCCAGUUAAUAAACCAACCACACCAGACGCA